rnacentral:rRNA from 1 species
UACGGGGGGGGCAAGCGUUGUUCGGAAUUACUGGGCGUAAAGGGCUCGUAGGCGGCCAACUAAGUCAGACGUGAAAUCCCCAGGCUCAACCUGGGAACUGCGUCUGAUACUGGAUGGCUUGAAUCCGGGAGAGGGAUGCAGAAUUCCAGGUGUAGCGGUGAAAUGCGCAGAUAUCAGGAGGAACACCAGUGGCGAAGGCGGUGCUCUGGGCCGGAACUGACGCUGAGGAGCGAAAGCGUGGGGAGCAAACAGG